ACUGUGAGCCUGACUGGGAAAACACUGGCUCCCAAUUUCAAUCCUUGUGGUCUGCUGAAGUCAGAGAAGUCAUGUGCUGAGCUCUUUGUGCUUAGCACAUUUGUGCAUUUCCAGGCCUCCUCUGCAUCUGAGCAAAGUAAAAUAAAAACACUUUUUACCUGGGCAAAUGGCUACUUGGAAUAAGGACAGCAUUUUUCAACAUUCCCUGAAGCUAGCUACAGCCAUGUGACUAAGUUCUGACCACGCAAGACAACCAGACGUGGAGGAACAACUUCUAAAAUAUGUCUGUAAAGUGAAUAGAAGCCGCACAGUGACCCCAUAGCCCUACACUCAUCUCCUCUGUUAAUGACUCCACAGCUAUAAACCAGGCUUGACUAUGUUCUAUAAAGAAGACCCUCUCAAUGGACUAGAUUUCCUUAUCCACAGAAAGGAGAAAACUCUCAGGGCAACGUUACCACCUCUAUUGCUGGCGUUUAUACAGAGACCUUGCUAAUAUCCAUCUGUGCUGCAUGCCAUUUACAAAAUAAUAUAGUGUAAUUCUGGAAAAUUACCCAAAUGAUAAAUCAUUUCAGAAUGCAAAAGUAAAAGAGAGAAUUCGCACAAAGAAUUUGUGAGCCUAAAAAUCAAUGGGUGAAGAGUAAGUUUCAAAGGAUUCAAAUUAAAUGCUGUUGUAGCAAAACUGUCAAUUAUCCUGCAUUCUUUUAUUAAUUUUGCUUUUAUUUGUAGAAUGGCUUCUGUUCCUUUCCUUGGAGCCAUUAUAGAGCAUCAGUAUGGCAGAAGAAUCAUUGGAAAAUAACUGCCAACCAGAUUUACUAUCUGUAUUCUAAGUAAAAGAUGCGGAUUAGAAGUCAGUGUAUUUUUUAAACUGUAGUUGUCAACUCAGAAGAUGCAGCUCAGGAUGAGUAACAUCAGGGAUUCUAGAAACUUUUUGAGAAUUUCACUGCAAACUAGAAAUGAGAUGGGAUGUUUAAUUUGCUAACUUUGGAGCCAAGAAUUUGAAGAGCAUACUGUAUAGAAUCUGAUGCACUGACUUUUAUGAGGAGAAUGUAGAUAUUAUUAGGGUAGAAACUGGUGCCUUGCAAUUUAAAAAAUUACAAUUGUAUUCUUCACUUGUCUUGUUCAGAUAAUAUUAUAUAGUUAAAAUUAUAUAAAAUAAUUGAAAAGAUUGAAAAUUUAUGUAUGCCCAACAUUACAUUAGAUUCUUUUUCAUCUAACUUAUUUGCUACUAAAAACAAUGUGUAAUUUAGAUGCACUUUCCUUAUUUUAAGGAGUAACGCAAUGAGGCUUAGAGUGUUUGAUUCUGAAGGUAUAAAGUAUAGAUUUGAAUUCACGUCUUUUGACCCAAGUUCAGUGCUUUUGUUUUUGCUGCAAGACAACUGGUUACCAAAAAAAGUACUAUUUUGAGAUUAAGCUUUCAAAUUAUAAUGGCUUUCAUAUCAUUACCCUGAGCAAACAUAGACAAGAUCCCAUUUAAAACCAAAUUAAAUGGAAAAUCUCUUCCUAUAUAUCCUCAAAGACUUCCAAACUAUAUUCUUUUUCUCCUCAGGUUAACUUUUCUUAAACUGUAAAAUUUUUAAUUUUCAUGGUUACUGAAUAGUUGUAGAUAUUUAUGGGCCACAUGUGAAAUUUUGAUAAAUGCAUACAAUGUAUAAUGAUCAAAUCAGGAUAAUUGGGAUAUGCAUCACCCCAAGCAAGCAUCAUUUCUUUGUGUUGGGAACACUCCAAUUCCACUGUUCAAAUUAUUUGCAAAUUUACAAUAAAUUAUUGUUAAUUAUAGUCACCCUAUUUUGUUACCAAACACUAGAUCCUAUUCCUUCUAUCUAAUUGUACUUCCGUUCCUAUUACCCAUUACCGAACACUUCUUUAUCCCCCUCCCCAUUUCCUUCCCCAGGCUCUGAUAACUAUCAUACUCUCUGUCUCCAUGAGAUCAAUUUUUUUAGUUCUCACAUAUGAGGGAGAACAUGCAAUAUGUGUCUUUCUGUGCCUAGCUUAUUUCACUUAACAUGUCCUUCAGUUCUAUCCAAGCUGCUGCAAAUGACUGGAUUUUAUUCUUUUUUUAAUGGCUGAAUAUUUCAUCAUGAAUAUGUACCACAUUUUCUUUAUUCAUUCAUCCAUUGAUGAACACUUAGGUUGACUCCAUAUCUUGGCUAUUAUGACUAGUGUUGCAAUAAACAUGAGAGUGUAAAUAUCUCUUUGAUAUACUGAUGUUUUUUCUUUUGGAUAAAUACCCAGCAGUGGGAUUGCUGGGUCAUAUGGCCAUUCUGUUUUUGCUUUUUUAAGGAACUUCUGCACUGUUCUUCAUAGCGGCUGUACUAAUUUGCAUUCCCACCAACAGUGUAGAAGAGUUUCCUUCAAAUCAGUAGCAUUUCUAUAUGCUAACAGCAAACAAUCUGAAAAAGAAAUAAUUAAAGUAAUCCCAUUUGUAAUCACUACAAAUAAAAUAAAAUACCUGGAAUAAACUAAAGAAGUGAAAAAUCUCUAAAAUAAAAACGAUACAACACUGAUGAAAGAAAUUGAAAAAGAUACAAAAAAAAAAAUUUUCUGUAUUCAUGUAUUAGAAGAAUCAGUAACUGCUAAAAUGUCCAUACUACCCAAAGUAAUCUAUAGAUUCAAUGCAAUCCCUAUCGAAAUACUAAUGAAGUUCUUUAUAAAAAUAGAAAAAAAA